CAUGGGAAAUGUGUCCCCACGUCGUACAGCCCAUUAGCUGCAUGGGAAUGGGUUGGGUCGCGCCCCCCAUAGAGGGACUAGAUGGGCGUAGGGGUACUCAGCACACCCCUAGGCCAGGUACCAUGUAGUCCCAAAUAGCCAUGUAGAGGUAGCACCUCAUAGAGAGAUAUCGACCAUAUUAGCUUGGCAUAAAGAACCUCUAGACGUUUAAUGAAAGAACGAAAAAUCAGUGAAACCCAAGGGGCAAGCCCCAAGGGACCUAGAUUAGAGCCAGUUGUCCUAGAACCGAAAUAGGAAAUCGUGGCAGCCUGUUAAAUUAAGAUGCGAAGAGAGCCUACAAGUAGGUGGCUUACUGAGUAUAAUUUUUAUACUCAUCCUUGCUAUGUUUUCCUUUUUUUUUUUCAGGAGCGUGAGGUGUCGGUCAAGAGUGGGCGUGAUCUGAAGGGAACUGUCACAGAGGAAUAGGUUGUCCCGGGGCGUCAGUCCAGUCUUAGUCUUUAUUUUUGUGUUCGCAUUCUUUUGAAAUUUAUUUUCCAAACGGUCUUGUGUUCUGUGUUUAUCGUUCGAAAAACUUUAUUGAUUUUCGUUACUUCGUAUUUAAAUCUCUUGUGCAUUUGUGUCGUGUCGUUAGUCACUGUCCGUAGUAAAAUAUUGGGCUGUGACACAACCCGAACCACAAUCCAAACCGGAAUCAACCUGUGCUUUGACCUGAAAUGCCUGCGCUAUCGUGACCCUCUUAGAUACUGCCACGUGUUAGGUCGCGACGCAAGAAGCCCUUCGGCUUGAGCGGCUUGAACGACUUGUGGAGGGCGGCGGCUUGUGGCGACUAUUCAGCUCGAUUUUUAAUUUUUGACCCGAUUUCCAUUGUUUCGAUCCUCCUGGACCUAUUUUCGGCCCCGACUAAGGUGACGAACAGUGCGAUAAGAAACAAACCUCGACAACCUUUGGAGCAGCUGCCAAGGAACGGGAACUUACGUUAAUUAAAUUAAGGAAUACUUUGGCUAAGUCCAACCAAGGAUACUUCUCUGGAGACAAUAAGUGUGGACGCGCACAGUACGAUGAUGAGGGUAUUCAUGGGGAGCAUGACACCAAGGGGUUCUGCUGACCUCCGGACAUCGCUACAAAUUAGCUUGACUAGAGAGGGUCGAGGGGUGUGCGAGCCCCCUGGGGAUUCACACUCGCACGUGUGUAGGGAAGUACUACACAUCCAAUUUUUCGAGAUGAGGCCACCCCUAGAGAAUAGAGAUAGGUCUAAGAGCAUGAUUGCAUGUGUUUGAAUUUGCAUGACCUCUUAUAAUGGGGCCACUUAUUGAGUAUUCUUCGAAAUACUCUGGCCGUGUGCCACAUCAUUUUUUAGGUAAAGGCAAGGCGCACAUGUAUGGAGGACGACGGUAUCGCAAGUAAAGACUGUUACACGUGCAUA